AAACACAUUUCGAUUAUUUUAUAAGAAAUUUAAACAUUAUAAAUAUUUAAACUUUAUACUACGGAUGAAAUUUUAGAAUUGACUGGUUUGGGUUGAUAAUAAUUUGCGAUAGAAUUAGGAGUUAAAUCCUAGAAUGACAAUCAAAAUAUAAUUAUACAAUUAAAUACUACCUCAGAUGAAAUCCUAGAAUUGACGGGUUUGAAUCGAUAUUAAUAUGGGAUGGUGUACUACGAGUGAAAUUUUAGAAUUGACUGGUUUGGAUUGAUAAUAAUUUGCGAUAGAACUAGGAGUGAAAUCCUAGAAUAACAAUUAAAAUAUAAUUAUACAAUUAAAUACUACCACGGGUGAAAUUCUAUAAUUGACGGACUUGAUUCGAUAUCAAUAUGGGAUGGUGUACUACGGGUAAAAUCCGAGAAACAACAAUCAAAAUACAAUUAUACAAUAUUAAACAUUUAACAAAAUAAACAAAUACAACUUAAAACUUUAAAAUUUGAAUUAUAAAAUUUUGUCUCGCGAUGAAUUAUACAUUUAAAUCAAACAAUAGCAUAAAUUUAUUAAAUCAUCCUACAAAGUAUUCUAUUAUUUUUUAUUUAAUAAAAAUAUAGGCACGCGGUAUACCACAAAUUAAUAUCUAGUAUU
rnacentral:sRNA from 1 species